CUGUAAGUGGUAUAACGUAUGUUCAUUUAAGCCUGGUCUUGCAAAUUUAAAUUAAGUUAACUGGUGAUUUUCGUUGUUUGUAUUCUUCACCUGCGAGCUAAAUUGCACGUGGCUGUUGAUUCGAUAGCGACUGCUGAACACCCUCGGCCACAUUUGUAUUUUAGGUGCAUUAUUUACAUGCUGAAGUACAGUUACACUGCAUUAAGAUAAUGCGGACCUGCCCCCACUGCUAAAAAAAAAAAAAUCCUAAAGGAAACACUGGGCUUGCAAUAAUAAAUGGAGAUACAGAAAAUAUGCCAUUCCUACUUAAAAGCAGGGAUUAAUCUGUCUAAAACUCUUAGUAAACAUCGGCCAUGGAAGUCACUUAAUCUAAAUUUUGUCAUUUUGUGGUCUUUCUAGAAAUGUGUAAGC